rnacentral:rRNA from 1 species
CUCCUAUACCCUCGCGCCGCGCCCCCCAGCUUGCGUCGGGCGCGCCCCCCAGACAUUUCCGCGGCCUUUUCACCCGACUGUGCAGUCCGGGGUUUACGCGGGCGCGCGCCAACGAACGUUCCCUACGUUUGGCAUCUCCGGUCUCUUUCCGAAACGGGCGGGUACCUUUCGGGGAGCCCUGAGACAGGUGCUGCACGGCCGUUGUCAGCUUGCGUGGUGAGAUGUUGGGCUAAGUCCCGCAGCGAGCGCAACCCCUAUGGAUAGUUGCCAGCAAGUGAUGUUGGGCCCUGUAUUCAGACCUGCGCGGGUUAACCGGGAGGAAGGUGGGGACGACGUCAAGUCAUCAUGGCCCUUACGCCUAGGGGUACACACGUACUACAAUGGCGCGCGCAAAGGGGAGCGAGACCGCGAGGUGGAGCCAAUCCCAAAAAACGCGUCCCAGUCCGGAUUGCAGUCUGCAACUCGACUGCAUGAAGUCGGAAUCGCUAGUAAUUCGAGAUCAGCAUGCUCGGGUGAAUGCGUUCCCGGGCCUUGUACACACCGCCCGUCACACCACGAAAGUCGGUUUUACCCGAAGUCGGUGAGCCAACCAGCAAUGGAGGCAGCCGCCUACGGUAGGGCUGAUGAUUGGGGUGAAGUCGUAACAAGGU